CUACCCCUUCACUUUUGUUCCACACAAAAAUUCCCCUUUUUUCUCCGUUCUUCUUUCUGUCGAUGUGGGAUUCCCAAAAGCUCUCUUCAAACAUGAAAGCUAGACACAAAUUUCCAAUCCAAGGCUUUCAAAAAAGCGAAGACCAAAACGGGAGCUUUGAUUUUGGGACGAGCUUUGUGGUGGUGUUAGAGGGAGGAGGUGCUUGAUGUGGAUUUGGUGCUAUCCUAGCUGAGCUUUUUUUUUUCGUCUACAUCCGUCAUGACCAUAUCCUUUCAUCUUCUACUACUUUCGCAUCGAUCCCUUCCCUUUUUCUUGACCUUGUAAGACCUUUUCUUGACCUUGUAAGAUGUCAUGCCAGGUCUGUUGUCUUUGUUUUGCAUUUCGCCCCAAGUUCUGCAUCGGAAUUAACCGAUAUAGAGCUUGGCCUUUGUUCCUCAUCGUUACCGCCCAAUUCAUCUUCUCCUUCCUUGUCUAUCCCUCCUGAGCUGUUCCACAAUUACCUCAAACUACAAGCCCACCAUAGCAAAGUCUUCCAUGAAAGCAAGGACUCUUUUGCUGGUGUUCCUCCAAGCAGGGUUGUAAAAAAAGUAGAAAUUCAGAAAUAUUAAUUAGCAGUGACAUUCAUAUAUGUUGUUUUUAUUCAGUAGGAAAUAAAUAAAAAUAAAAUUCUAUUUAUUAUUUAUUUUUGUUAUAAUUGCCUGCAGCUGUUACUUAUUCUGUGAAGGCAGAAAAUACAGAAAUAUGCUGUUGGCAGUCAUCAGUCAUCAGUUUCGUUGUUUUAUAUGUUGUUGGCUGAGAAAGUAAGAGAAUAAAUAUUCUCUCAGAUCUGUGUAAGACUUCCCACUCGUGACUGCUGUUUUUUAUUUUUUUCUAUCUCCUUUUUCUCGAAAGACUUAUUUGUAACCUGCACUGCCAGUAAAGUUCUUCAUCCAAAAGC